UAAAAUACAUUUAAAAGGCUUGCAAUUGUCCCCAAAAAAAAAAAAAAUGUAGCAUACAGAGAUAGUUCUUCGUUCCUUUGCCAGACUUUGAGUGCUGCUGCAAGCAGAAAGAAAAAUCUAUGGGCAUCAACACCGUUAGGCUAUAUAUCUGCCACCAUCAAAUCAUCAAAACCGGUUCCGGUCAAACAGCAACAAAGAGAGCAGGAAAAAAAAUGUAAACAAAGAAGGUACAGGCAUUAGAGAGAGACUUUGGUUGAACUUUGAAGUUCACGGAGAAGACAAUGGGUUUUUUUUUAAUGUGGGACAUCACAAGGCAGCAAGUGAGAAGAGCAAGAAAACAAAUUGCAGACAAAGAAGGUACAGGCAAUAGGGAGAGGCUUCGGUUGAACUUUGAAGUUAACAAAGAAGACAGAGAAGGGUUUUUCUUGAUGUGUUGCACCUAUCUGAGUUCUGCUUCAAUAACUAAUGACAUAUUUGCAACACUUGGAUUGAAAAUUCAUGGUGGCAAAAAUGUCCCUUAUGUGUAAGACAUUUUCAGGGUGUUAGGUCUUGGUAUGUAUCCAGUAAAUUCUUGAGAAUACAUAAUGAGAGUUCCAAGUAGAAAUAUUGGUCUUGGUGCCAAAGGAUGUAUUUCUUAGUGCAUUUGGCCAUAGAUAACAUAUAUUAGAAGCUUCAAAGAUUUGGAAACUCAUUAUAAAUGAAUCCUUACACUUCUAUUAAUAAGUUGCACAAUGGUGAGAUAUCACCCCUUUCAUUUUCUUUAUAAAGAUGGUUGUGGUUAAAGAAAAUUAUGUUCCUUCUGGACUCGAUUCCAUAGUGAUGCAAUGAUUGAGAAAUAAUGUGUUGGGCAUAAUUUGGUGGUUUACAUACAGGAAUUUACUUCUCUUUUGAGCACUAGCGGGUAUAUUUAUUAAAAAAAUCAAUACCAUGUAGCUUCUUGAGAAUUAGUAUCUUUGUUGUAGCUAGCUGAAAAGAUUCAAGAAUUACUUGGAGGAAUGUACUUCAUAAUGAUUUGGCAAUUUAAGGGAAUUUUUGCCCCAUGUUGAUGAAAUAUAUAGUUUUGAUAUCUAUUUCUCAAACCAUUCAUUGCUAGAUAGGAGUUAGGUUAAUACUCACAAACCAAACCAAUUAUAUGCUCGUUCUCUUUCAAAGGAUGUAAAAAUAAUAAUU